AUUGAACGCUGGCGGCAGGCCUAACACAUGCAAGUAGAACGAGUGGCGGACGGGUGAGUAAUGUCUGGGAAACUGCCUGAUGGAGGGGGAUAACUACUGGAAACGGUAGCUAAUACCGCAUACCAUCAGAUGUGCCAAGAUGGGAUUAGCUAGUUGGUGGGGUAACGGCUAACAAAGGCGACGAGCCAUAGCUGGUCUGAGAGGAUGAACAGCAAAACGGGAAAUGAGACACGGUCCAGACUCCUACGGGAGGCAGCAGUGGGGAAUAUUGCACAAUGGGCGCAAGCCUGAUGCACCCAUGCGGGGUGUAUGAAGAAGGCCUUCGGGUUGUAAAGUACUUUCAGCGGGGAGGCGUUACCCUCAGAAGAAGCACCGGCUAACUCCGUGCCAGCAGCCGCGGUAAUUC
rnacentral:rRNA from 1 species